rnacentral:snRNA from 1 species
AUGAAGAGGUAAGUGGCAGUAUCAUAGCUAAUGAGGUUAAUCUGAGGCGUGAUUAUUGCUAGUUGAAAACUUCCUUAUUCACUUUCUCCACACC